rnacentral:lncRNA from 1 species
AUAAUUUCAGGGGUUUAUCUGGGUAUUUUGGGAAAAAGGACCCUGGCCAGUUUAGGGAAUUUUUUAACGCGGUUUUCAAUGAAAUUGGGAAAAACAACCAAUAUACCAGAUGUUAGUUUUAGUGUGAUUAGUUCAUAAAAUUAUUUUUUGUAGGUGAAAAUAAAGUAAGGACUACACCUUCUUUGUUUUUUAAAUAUAACAACAUGGCAUUUCAGUUUAUUUGAGUAUCAAAAUAAUGAGUUC